rnacentral:rRNA from 1 species
CUUUACUGUAGCUUUACAUUGGACUUUGACGGGACUUGUGUAGGAUAGGUGGGAGGCUGUGAGACGUGGUCGCUAGAUCACGAGGAGCCGACGUUGAAAUACCACCCUGGUGUCGUUGAGGUUCUAACCUUGGACCGUGAAUCCGGUUCGGGGACCGUGUAUGGUAGGCAGUUUGACUGGGGCGGUCUCCUCCCAAAGUGUAACGGAGGAGUUCGAAGGUCUCCUAGGUACGGUCGGACAUCGUACUAAUAGUGCAAUGGCAAAAGGAGGCUUAACUGCGAGACCGACAAGUCGAGCAGGUGCGAAAGCAGGACAUAGUGAUCCGGUGGUUCUGAAUGGAAGGGCCAUCGCUCAACGGAUAAAAGGUA